CAAAGUUGUGGGUAUAUCCAACGCUGCAGUUGCGAGGGUAUAUCUAGCCGCUUGUGGUUGCUCCCGCUUUUAAGGUUUCCCUUUUAAUACCGUGUGUAAUCUGCCAGCGGAUCGCGACUUGGAGUGUUCCCGGACCGACGUGAGCCAGGCAACCGGCGGGAUACUAAGCCACUACAAUUGCUGCUGUUUUGCCCGGAUGUUUUUAUGUUUUUGUUUCGUGUUUAAUUAGUUUUAAGUAUUAAUGUGUUAGUUUGUUGGAUGUAAACCGUGGGGCGCCGUUGGGGAGGUUUGCUGGGCGGUGAGGAUCUGUUUUGGGGCGGCAGGUCGGGGCGAUACAGCGCUGCGUGGUCGCUUUGCCUUUUUAGCCCACCCCCCGGGUGGGUGUACAUACGCCAUGUGAUGCGGUGACCCCUUGGAGUAUUUUCUGACGGUUCGCCUCCCAUUCCCCUCCCCAUAACGGCCGUCAGGUUUCGGUUCCUUUUUCCGUGCGAUUGGAGUGUUUUAACAUGAUUUGAUUUGCACCAUUUGUGAUGUGAUAUUUUAAGUAAUUUGUUUGCUGUUUGGUUUCUUUUGUUUUCAUUUUGGAGUUCAAACUAAACAGCAGCCUAAUAAAGGGAGUGUUCAUGGUCUUCACGUCUCCCCGGUGCUGAUUACGAAUCUGUCCUUUUAUAUUGGAGUGGGUUGCCAACUCCUGUGUUUUAAUUCUCUGGGUGAAAUUCCCAGAGUGGCGUAGUCGGGUUGUCCAUUUCCGUAUCCCUCGCUGCUUCCUCCCGUAAAAACGCCUC